rnacentral:rRNA from 1 species
GACGAACGCUGGCGGCGUGCUUAACACAUGCAAGUCGAACGGAAAGGCCCUGCUUUUGUGGGGUGCUCGAGUGGCGAACGGGUGAGUAACACGUGAGUAACCUGCCCUUGACUUUGGGAUAACUUCAGGAAACUGGGGCUAAUACCGGAUAGGAGCUCCUGCUGCAUGGUGGGGGUUGGAAAGUUUCGGCGGUUGGGGAUGGACUCGCGGCUUAUCAGCUUGUUGGUGGGGUAGUGGCUUACCAAGGCUUUGACGGGUAGCCGGCCUGAGAGGGUGACCGGCCACAUUGGUACUGAGAUACGGCCCAGACUCCUACGGGAGGCAGCAGUGGGGAAUAUUGCACAAUGGGCGGAAGCCUGAUGCAGCAACGCCGCGUGCGGGAUGACGGCCUUCGGGUUGUAAGCCGCUUUCGCCUGUGACGAAGCGUGAGUGACGGUAAUGGGUAAAGAAGCACCGGCUAACUACGUG